GAAAGUCCUUUCGUACACGAGCCGAUGCAGCAGGAAAAACUGCGUUGUUGAUGAAUUAAUCUCCCAUGUACAGAAUGCCUUUAUUAAAACGGAAACGUUUAAAGAACAGGUCUAGGAGUCAAAAGCCAUAUAGGGAGAGCAAGACCAGAUGCAGUUUUACAUGGAUAAGAAAAAGAGACACUUGUGUGGUGUUAAGUACAUCAGAUUGAAGAACCAAUUCAAGAAGGCCAAGAUGAGACGUAAAUGAUGAAGAGGAUAGCUUUCUUGUAACCUUGUAAGAUUUUUGAUACAUAAUAUCCAAAAACAAUAAACUACACAGAUAUGUCUAUUAAAGGUAAAAUUUUGAUGUCCUAUUUACAAGCAGUGAUAUGCACAAGGGGGAUGGCUGAGUGGACUGAAGCCCCUACCUUCCUGCCCUUAUGCCCCCAAAGUGACCUUUUUUUCUGUUAAAAAAAUAUUAUCAACAAUUAUAAAAAAAUACACCUGUGAGUUAUUAGAAGAAAAAUUAAAAUUCAGCAUUAAAAUGAAUGUCAAACACAGAUUUGCCAAUCUUUAUAGUAAAAAUAUUAAAUUUGAUAUUCUGUUAAAUUAUAAGACCAAUUAAAUACGAAUAAAAGAGGUUAUGUUUGUUUCUAUGGUUUUACCCUAUGUGUAACAGAAGCAACUAACAGUUAUCUAAAUAUUCUCUAACAUCCCCCCCUCUCAAAAAAAAAUGUGCUUGCUUUUUUCAAUGAGCUCCUGCUCUUUCAAUGCCCUACACACACGUUACUGUUUACAAGACUAGUAACAACAUGUAAUGUUAAAAAUAUAUAAAUGUUAAUUAAUGAAAGACAUAAUUAAUCAAAUGAAAUAUAUUUGGACAUUUAUUUUAGCAUACAUUAAACUAGUGCCAUAUACAUGAAA